UUUCAUUGGUGAUCUAAUAUGGCGGUCAAUCUAAAGAGAAAAGAUGAGUCAGGAGACAAGAAGUACGUGUUCUAUACCACAAGAAAUUUUAGAUAACCAAGAUCUUAGUUUCAUAGAAGAAUUAAACAUUGUAGAUGAAUUGUAUUUUAAUGAAAAUAAAAAUGUGAUCGAAAACGAAAGCAGUUCUGACGAAAACUUUGAAUCUGAUUCCGACAAUGAUGAAGACGUGGACCUUGUAAAUAUUGAACCAUCAGAUGAGGACACACGGGAGUAUGUUGCCCAGGCCCGUUUUAGAAGUGAUGCAUGUGGAUGUAGGGAGUUCUAUGGUGAACCAUGCAGUACAGUUAUUGACGUGGAAUCGGCAAUCGAAUUCCGAGAACACUGUAAAGAAAUCAGCAAGGAUGAACUUGAUCCGAUUAUAAAAGCGUAACUGUUUUCCCAUCGUCGUUCAGGUAACCCACCACAGUCAGUUCAAACCACCUUGCACUACUUCUGGGAUUAUGCCCAGCAGGUCCAUAUUCCACACCAUGCCCAACAAGUGGGCCCAAUCUACUUCAAAAGCCCUCGUAAAUGCCAUGUUUUUGGUAUCUGCUCAGAAGGAUCAGGAAAACAGACCUUUUAUCUCAUUGAUGAAGCCGCUAAUCCUGGGAAAGGAGCUAACAGUGUUACAAGCAUGGUACAUCAUUACUUUGAUAAGUUUGGGCAUGGUUAAAUAGAUCUCAAAGUUCACUUUGAUAACUGUACAGGACAAAAUAAAAACAAUGUUGUGUUAUGGUAUGGUCUUUGGAAAGUGUU